rnacentral:rRNA from 1 species
AGUGAACGCUGGCGGUAGGCCUAACACAUGCAAGUCGAACGGCAGCACAGUAAGAGCUUGCUCUUACGGGUGGCGAGUGGCGGACGGGUGAGGAAUACAUCGGAAUCUACUUUUUCGUGGGGGAUAACGUAGGGAAACUUACGCUAAUACCGCAUACGACCUACGGGUGAAAGCAUGGGAUCUUCUGACCUUGCGCGAUUGAAUGAGCCGAUGUCGGAUUAGCUAGUUGGCGGGGUAAAGGCCCACCAAGGCGACGAUCCGUAGCUGGUCUGAGAGGAUGAUCAGCCACACUGGAACUGAGACACGGUCCAGACUCCUACGGGAGGCAGCAGUGGGGAAUAUUGGACAAUGGGCGCAAGCCUGAUCCAGCCAUACCGCGUGGGUGAAGAAGGCCUUCGGGUUGUAAAGCCCUUUUGUUGGGAAAGAAAAGCAGCAGGCUAAUACCCCGCUGUUCUGACGGUACCCAAAGAAUAAGCACCGGCUAACUUCGUG